CACACAUAAUAAAAACUUAAAAGCAUAUCAAAAAAGGAGAAAGUGAAAGAAAAGGGCGAGAGGGGAGCACAUGAUGAUUAGAGCAAAGCUAGCCGUGUGAUUAGGGAAGCAGCAACUGCAAGACAAGUGGAAGCGGUGGAAGGGUAAUACUUUGCUUAAUUUAUAUAAUUUUUUUAUUCAUUUUAAUUAUUUCUUAAUAUGAAUUCUACUGAUUUUAGCAUUUUAUUGGUAAUUUUCUAUGCAAGUAUAAUUUAUUGCCCAGUGCAUUGGAAACAAAUGAAGCUGUGAAUUAAAAUGAAGAUUUUAAGAUUCUUGGUCAUUAAAAUUAUUUUAGUUAGUAUUUUUAUUUACAAAAAUAUUUGUUUAAGGCUUUAAUUGAGAAUUAAAUUUAUCUUAAAGCACAAAAGAGCCUAUAUAUUUUAAUUUGGGUUUAUUAAUUUUUAAAUUAUUCUAGUUUAGAAAAUAAGAUUUAGUUGUCUUAUAACAUCAUUUAGCAUAAAAAAAUGAGAAUAGCCUCUUGAUUCGGUGUUAGAUGAUAUAUAAUUAGUGAGCCGGUACGAUCAGUAAUUAUUGUGUUUAGUCUAUUAAAGAAUAAAUUGACGCAACCAAUUAAAUGAAUGGUUGGAUCCGUCAAGCGAUUUAACGGUCAAGUUUAGACAACUCACUCAGUUGAGGUUGUUGAUUUAAGUCGGGUCCUUCUAAUUCGCAAGGCUGAUAAGGAAUUAAAUCGUGGAAGCUGAUUUCAAGGUUAUUUGCUUAGGAAGCAUUAGUUGUCGAGUUGUUCUCGCAAGUAAUUUACAAUCAAAAGAGUUAGUGGUUUGAGGUUAUUCCUAGAUCAUUAUAAUUGACUAAUUUGUUGGAUGAAAAAAUUUAUUGUCCAGAAUUUGUUUGAAGUUGAAAUUAAAUUCGUGUUUGAAGUUGGAACUUUGUUAUAUAAGUUUAUUCAAUUUCAAUUUUGCUUCUUUACUUUUACAAUGUUCAAUUAAUUUUUUAUAUUUAUCUUUAUUUAAAUUUUAAUUAUUUAUUUUAUAAUUAUAUUUAAUUUCUCUUUUAUUUUUGCAGAUUCGCAUAAAUUCUUGGUUAUAAAAAAUAAUAAAAUUAAUCAAUCUUUAUAGGAUCGAUACUAUUCAUCAUAUUAUAAAUUUAAUUAAAUUUUGUUUAAGUAUAAAAAUUUAUUUUUGAUUGAUUCCACACCAUUGAAGGGUGGGAGAAGCGGAGGAAGACGAAAGAGUAGAAGCAAAAGAAUGGAAAAAGAGAAAGGACAGCCGGGUUGAAACAGGAGUCGGAGAAAAAGUGAGGACUUGGGGAAGAGAAAGUCAAGGAUCGGGAGGCCGACAGUCAACCCUAAGGCUACCGCAUGGCAUUAAUGUUAAACAGUUCUCCUCCAAAUACCAAAAUGAAAGAGAAAAGUAUCUAUAGGAACCUCUUUUUUUUAUUAUUGGAAAAGAAACGUUUAUUUUGUCACACAUUUUGCCCUUCUUUUAUAAUAACCUUAAAUUUAUACCAGAGUACACUCUCUAACUAAUAAACAAAUGCCACGUGUAUUUUAAAUUAAAUAAAAAACUUAUUGCAUUAAUUAAAAAAAUUAAUAAACCUUAGCAUGAUGAAAACAAAAGAAA
rnacentral:lncRNA from 1 species